rnacentral:rRNA from 1 species
AUCGAACGCUGGCGGCAGGCCUAACACAUGCAAGUCGAACGAGUGGCGGACGGGUGAGUAAUGUCUGGGAAACUGCCUGAUGGAGGGGGAUAACUACUGGAAACGGUAGCUAAUACCGCAUACCAUCGGAUGUGCCCAGAUGGGAUUAGCUAGUAGGUGGGGUAAAGGUUCACCUAGGCGACGAUCCAUAGCUGGUCUGAGAGGAUGACCAGCCACACUGGAACUGAGACACGGUCCAGACUCCUACGGGAGGCAGCAGUGGGGAAUAUUGCGCAAUGGGCGCAAGCCUGAUGCAGCCAUGCCGCGUGUAUGAAGAAGGCCUUCGGGUUGUAAAGUACUUUUGGCAGAGAAGCGGUAUCUACAGAAUAAGCACCGGCUAACUACGUGCCAGCAGCCGCGGUAAUUC